AAUGAACGCUGGCGGCGUGCCUAACACAUGCAAGUCGAGCGAGAAAGUCUCUUCGGAGAUAAGUACAGCGGCGGACGGGUGAGUAACGCGUGAGAAUUUACCCUUUAGUGAAGAAUACCUCUGAGAAAUCAGGGUUAAUACUGCAUACGUCCCUACGGGGAGAAAGGUGGCCUCUUUGCUGCCGCUAAAGGAUAAGCUUGCGUACUAUUAGCUAGUUGGUGAGGUAAAGGCUCACCAAGGCGAUGAUGGUUAGCCGGCCUGAGAGGGUGUACGGCCACACUGGAACUUAGACACGGUCCAGACUCCUACGGGAGGCAGCAGUGAGGAAUAUUGCGCAAUGGGCGAAAGCCUGACGCAGCGACGCCGCGUGGAGGAUGAAGGUCUUCGGAUUGUAAACUCCUGUUAAGUGGGAAGAAAGACCUAUUUCUAAUACAGAUAGGGGAUGACGGUACCAUUAGAGAAAGCACCGGCUAACUUCGUGCCAGCAGCCGCGGUAA
rnacentral:rRNA from 1 species